GUUUAUGUAGUAUAUAUAAUACAUUACCUUUUCAUGGUAAAGCAGGCAACCCUUAAAU
rnacentral:tRNA from 1 species